GUCACGCUGUAAACGAUGUCGAUUUGGAGGUUGUUCCCGUGAGGAGUGGCUUCCGGAGCUAACGCGUUAAAUCGACCGCUGGGGAGUACGGCCGCAAGGUUAAAACUCAAAUGAAUUGACGGGGGCCCGCACAAGCGGUGGAGCAUGUGGUUUAAUUCGAUGCAACGCGAAGAACCUUACCUACUCUUGACAUCCAGAGAAUUUAGCAGAGAUGCUUUAGUGCCUUCGGGAACUCUGAGACAGGUGCUGCAUGGCUGUCGUCAGCUCGUGUUGUGAAAUGUUGGGUUAAGUCCCGCAACGAGCGCAACCCUUAUCCUUUGUUGCCAGCACAUUAUGGUGGGAACUCAAAGGAGACUGCCGGUGAUAAACCGGAGGAAGGUGGGGAUGACGUCAAGUCAUCAUGGCCCUUACGAGUAGGGCUACACACGUGCUACAAUGGCGUAUACAAAGAGAAGCGACCUCGCGAGAGCAAGCGGAACUCAUAAAGUACGUCGUAGUCCGGAUUGGAGUCUGCAACUCGACUCCAUGAAGUCGGAAUCGCUAGUAAUCGUAGAUCAGAAUGCUACGGUGAAUACGUUCCCGGGCCUUGUACACACCGCCCGUCACACCAUGGGAGUGGGCUGCAAAAGAAGUAGGUAGCUUAACCUUCGGGAGGGCGCUUACCACUUUGUGAUUCAUGACUGGGGUGAAGUCGUAACAAGGUAACCA
rnacentral:rRNA from 1 species